rnacentral:rRNA from 1 species
UACGUAGGGCGCGAGCGUUGUCCGGAAUCAUUGGGCGUAAAGAGCUCGUAGGCGGCCUGUCGCGUCUGCUGUGAAAUCCCGGGGCUUAACCCCGGGCGUGCAGUGGAUACGGGCUGGCUGGAGGCAGGCAGGGGAGAACGGAAUUCCCGGUGUAGCGGUGAAAUGCGCAGAUAUCGGGAGGAACACCGGUGGCGAAGGCGGUUCUCUGGGCCUGUACUGACGCUGAGGAGCGAAAGCGUGGGGAGCAAACAGG